ensembl:rRNA 5S_rRNA 5S ribosomal RNA
GACAUUUGGUAGAGACUGUUGAAGCCACCUGGUCCCAGCAGACCCAGGAAGGCAGCCACAUUCGCUGGUGCUGCGGCAAUGUUGUUGAGGGUGAAGCCUGGCGCCAGAUGUGU